rnacentral:misc_RNA from 1 species
GAUGAAGAACGCAGCGAAAUGCGAUAAGUAAUGUGAAUUGCAGAAUUCAGUGAAUCAUCGAAUCUUUGAACGCACAUUGCGCCCGCCAGUAUUCUGGCAGGCAUGCCUGUCUGAGCGUCAUUUCAACCCUCAUGCCCCUAGGGCGUGGUGUUGGGGAUCGGCCAAAGCCCGCGAGGGACGGCCGGCCCCUAAAUCUAGUGGCGGACCCGUCGUGGCCUCCUCUGCGUAGUAGUGAUAUUCCGCAUCGGAGAGCGAUGAGCCCCUGCCGUUAAACCCCCAACUUUCCAAGGUUGACCUCAGAUCAGGUAGGAAUACCCGCUGAACUUAAGCAUAUCAAUAAGCGGAGGA